rnacentral:rRNA from 1 species
UACGUAGGGUGCGAGCGUUUGUCCGGAAUUAUUGGGCGUAAAGAGCUCGUAGGCGGUUUGUCGCGUCGACUGUGAAAACCUACAGCUUAACUGUGGGCUUGCAGUCGGUACGGGCAGACUUGAGUUCGGUAGGGGAGACUGGAAUUCCUGGUGUAGCGGUGAAAUGCGCAGAUAUCAGGAGGAACACCGGUGGCGAAGGCGGGUCUCUGGGCCGAUACUGACGCUGAGGAGCGAAAGCGUGGGGAGCGAACAGG